UCAAGCGCGAGCUUGGUGUUGGGGACCGCCCCGGGAGACCGGCGGCGGCCCUUGAAUCCAUCGGCGGUGCUGGUAGCAGCCCGGAGCGCAGCAGACAUGCGGCUUCCCGGGCGGCCCGGCGCCCGCCGGACAACGACGAGACCCUCCAAACGUCGACCUCGAAUCAGGUAGGGAUACCCGCUGAACUUAAGCAUAUCAAUAAGCGGAGGAAAAGAAACCAACAGGGAUUGCCUCAGUAACGGCGAGUGAAGCGGCAGCAGCUCAAAUUUGAAAUCUGGCGCCCCCCGGCGUCCGAGUUGUAAUUUGCAGAGGAUGCUUCGGCGUAGGCGCCGCCCAAAGUUCCUUGGAACGGGACGUCGCAGAGGGUGAGAGCCCCGUGUUCGGGCGGAUGCCUUCGCCGUGUGAAGCUCCUUCGACGAGUCGAGUUGUUUGGGAAUGCAGCUCAAAACGGGAGGUAAAUUUCUUCCAAAGCUAAAUACCGGCCGGAGACCGAUAGUGCACAAGUAGAGUGAUCGAAAGAUGAAAAGCACUUUGGAAAGAGAGUCAAACAGCGCGUGAAAUUGUUGAAAGGGAAGCGCUUGCGGUCAGAACUUGGCCGCCGUUGCUCGGGGAGGCCUCGCGCCUCCCUCGCUCUUCGGCGGCUGGGCCAGCAUCGGUUCGGGCGGCUCGAGAAAGGCCGCGGGAACGUAGCU
rnacentral:rRNA from 1 species